GGUUCUACUGGUGUUACUGGUUCUGCUGGUGAGAAGAAUUGUUCACAGGAAACCUGAAGAUCAAGAAGAAAAUGAGGAAGAUGACAUCAUCACUCAUGUCAUGUACUCUUUUGUCAAAACAUCAAAUUAUCAACAGCCAAUCACACAAAACAGAGACGCUGAUCUAGCUGCAGUUUCUCCAGCUGUGAGAACUGAAGAAGUCAUGAAACAAACAACCAUCAGACCAAGGAGACCCAGACUUUAAAUCAGAGCCAGACGUCGUCUACUCUUCACUGAAGUAGUCCACCAGUCCAACCACUGACGUCCAGCUGCUGGUCUCUAACUGGUCCUCCCAGCACCUCAGACCAGAAGACA